rnacentral:lncRNA from 1 species
AUACCACACGUGGGAACGUAUUAUUUCGAUUCUAACAAGACAUAAUUUAAACAACAGUGCUGGGGAAAAAGGUAACUAGCUUUUACGCUGUGAACUACACUUCGUGCUACGCCCCAGGAUUCGGCUGUUGAAAUUUCCUCCCACAAAACUGAUAAAGUUGCAGUUUUGCAUCAAAUUAAAUAUGUAGCGCAUAAAUGAAAAAAUAAAUGACACAAUUCGAUGAGGUCUCUAGUUUCAUUUAUUUCUUCAACAAAAUUGCAAACAGUAGUGUCCGUAUAAUACUUUUCUACAGAAAAAUCGGUGUAAUACUGCCGAUACUAAAAAAAGCACAAACGCCACAUAUGCCUGGCUUACACACGUUGUGUAUUUAAAUUUGUAUUUGAACAUUUUAACAUAAACAUGGAUUAUGCGUACAAAGAGAACAGUACAGGUUUCUUACUUUUCAAAGGGAUUGGCAGUGCAGUACACAUUUAUCGUACUUGAUGAAAUGUUACCAGGGAAAAGCCGAAAUUGUGUCAUAUUACCGGUAUGACUAAUAUCAACUGAUUUAGACAUGUUGGAACUCACAGCAACUUGGGUGUCAGAAAUAUUAUUCUUAUUAUUCUGACAUGUUUGAAUGCAUGGAGUAGGAUUUACAAGCGUCUAAAUUUUACCAGACAGGACCUUGUUGGACUCUACAAAAUCACGAUCACGCAUAAGUGACAGCUUUCUAGAGAAUGGAAGAGCAGUGGUGUGGCUAUUAAUACCAGGACGGAUGAGUGUGGGCUUUGAAUAUUCCUUCCCCGUUUUAGAGAGAAGAGCUGCAUAAAUCUGCAUCUAGCUCUGCUACCGGCAUCAUUUCAAACUCUGAGUGACCAAAACCAGCUUUCAUCAUGUAAUCUGAAAAUGGGAAAUACAUAAUUGCUUAGAGUGUACAUAUAUGUCCUUUAAAGAAACUAAAAAAAUCGAAAUCUAGUCACUCACUUGUAUGUAUUGUGAAACAUACUGUCAAAGUGUAAGAAACAAGUCAAAUAUCUUUGCGACAAAGGAAAGAACUAGAAAGAAACGAAUAUGAUUAGGACUAAUUCAGUACAUUCCUUUGAACAUAUAUUAAAAAACGGAAAACCAUAUAUAAAACUGGACAAGGAACAACACAGGAAUAAAUUGUUUUUUUUUCAAUUGAAUUGACUGGUUAAAUAGUCAUUAUUGAAGUAAACUUCAUCAGGAUAAAUAGAAAAGAAUUCAAAAAUAUUGCUGAUGGGAUAUUAAUAACAAAGAUCACGCUGCUUUAAAUUGAAUAUUUCUGUGAAAUGAUAGAUUAUUUACUGACUUUCACUCGAGAUCGGGAUGUGUAAUAUUUUAAUAAAUAAAAGAAAUCAUGCAAGCUCAAAGGCGUGAGAUUCUUCCCAUAACGUUGAAUCAUAAUGGAACAGAGCGUAUUCAUCGUUGAGUCCGAAAAGAAACAAUAGACAUGCCUUUCAUUGCUCAUCACUAUGAAACAAGCAGCAGCAGCCAAGCCACUGGUACAUCUAUCCGAGAAGAAAAUGUGACACCGUGUAAAACUGUGUCCAGUUUCUUCCUCACAUUUUUCUUUUUUCACGAGCAGAAAGUCAGCUCCGUUUUCGUCAACGUCGUUUAAUUUCAUCUUCAAUUCUUUGAUUUCCUUAUCUUCUGAGCAAGUCAGAAAGUAUCUCUUAAACGCAUGCACAACAUAAUCAAAAGACAAGGCACGAUCAUCACUUGUGAUAAGAAUGAAGCAUUUAGACAUGUCAGUAUUCUCAUCGAUGAACUUUGCAAUCAAUUUAUUUUUGACCUUCUUUUAAAGCAAAUUGUCAUACGAUAAAACACUAACUUCGUCACUGCAUUUGAUAUUAUCCAGUUGAUCAGAUGUGUCCAUCUUUAUGUUCUGAGAUCAAAUGAUCAGUAUA